rnacentral:rRNA from 1 species
UACGUAGGGUGCAAGCGUUGUCCGGAAUUAUUGGGCGUAAAGAGCUCGUAGGCGGUUUGUCGCGUCUGCUGUGAAAACUCGGGGCUUAACUCCGGGCCUGCAGUGGGUACGGGCAGACUAGAGUGCGGUAGGGGAGACUGGAAUUCCUGGUGUAGCGGUGAAAUGCGCAGAUAUCGGGAGGAACACCGGUGGCGAAGGCGGUUCUCUGGGCCUGUACUGACGCUGAGGAGCGAAAGCGUGGGGAGCGAACAGG